UACAGAGGUCUCAAGCGUUGUUCGGAUUCAUUGGGCGUAAAGGGCGCGUAGGCGGCGGGCCAAGUCGAGUGUGAAAGCCCCGGGCUCAACCUGGGAGGUGCGCUCGAGACUGGUUUGCUGGAGUUCGGGAGAGGAGCGUGGAAUUCCCAGUGUAGAGGUGAAAUUCGUAGAUAUUGGGAAGAACACCGGUGGCGAAGGCGGCGCUCUGGACCGAGACUGACGCUGAGGCGCGAAGGCGUGGGGAGCAAACAGG
rnacentral:rRNA from 1 species